rnacentral:rRNA from 1 species
UAAUUGAAGAGUUUGAUCAUGGCUCAGAUUGAACGCUGGCGGCAGGCCUAACACAUGCAAGUCGAGCGGUAACAGGAGAAAGCUUGCUUUCUUGCUGACGAGCGGCGGACGGGUGAGUAAUGUAUGGGGAUCUGCCCGAUAGAGGGGGAUAACUACUGGAAACGGU